rnacentral:rRNA from 1 species
AUGAGGUGGCUAAACAUCGGCUCUGAGAGAAAGCUCGACACGGCACGCAUGGUGCUGCGAGAGAUCAUCGGGGAGAUGAUGCAAAAGAGGAAGAUCACCACAUGUCGUUUUGGACAUGGCAAGGAACAAGAGAGUGUGGAUAUUAUUUCUUCCUUCCUCGAAGACCCAGACUACGCCAAUGCUGACUUGCUCCGUGCGAUUAUCAUUAGCUACAUGCUUGCUGCGAGGGACACAAUUGCAACAACCCUAACAUGGAUCUUCUGCGACCUCGCCCAAAAUCCUGACAUCGUGUCAAUCAUCCGCAACGAACUUUCACCCAUUGCAUCACGCAAAGUAGCAUUAGGGGCAUCUACCCCAGUGAUCUUUGAGCCAGACGAGACCAAAUCUCUAGUAUAUUUGACAGCCACUUUGUAUGAGACUCUUAGACUGUACCCACCGGCGCCUGUCUUGCUCAAGAAGGUGGCCGUAGAUGACAUCAUGCCGAGUGGCCAUGAGGUGCAUGCCGGUGACACCAUUUUUGUUUCCGUCCACUCCAUGGGGAGAAUGGAGGGUGUGUGGGGUAAAGACUGCUUCGACUAUAACCCACGUAGGUGGCUCUCAGAUGAUGACAACAACCUGAGGUACAUACCAUCUCACAAGUUCUUGGCCUUCAAUGCUGGCCCGAGGAUGUGCCUCGGCAAGGACAUUGCACUUAUGCAAAUGAAGACUGUCAUUGCUACAGCUGUGUGGAACUUCGAUGUGAAGGUGGUGGAAGGGCAAAGCAUCCAGCCUAAGCCGUCCAUUAUACUGGAGAUGAAAAAUGGGCUCAUUGUUAAGUUGAAGAAGCGAGAAAUGUAA